GGAUGGGUGGCCGAGCGGUCUAAGGCGCGCGCCUGGAAAGUGCGUAUACGUCAAAAGCGUAUCGUGGGUUCGAAUCCCACCCCAUCCGCCA
rnacentral:tRNA from 1 species